rnacentral:rRNA from 1 species
UUGUAAAGUCGAGCGGAUGAAGGGAGCUUGCUCCUGGAUUCAGCGGCGGACGGGUGAGUAAUGCCUAGGAAUCUGCCUGGUAGUGGGGGAUAACGUCCGGAAACGGGCGCUAAUACCGCAUACGUCCUGAGGGAGAAAGUGGGGGAUCUUCGGACCUCACGCUAUCAGAUGAGCCUAGGUCGGAUUAGCUAGUUGGUGGGGUAAAGGCCUACCAAGGCGACGAUCCGUAACUGGUCUGAGAGGAUGAUCAGUCACACUGGAACUGAGACACGGUCCAGACUCCUACGGGAGGCAGCAGUGGGGAAUAUUGGACAAUGGGCGAAAGCCUGAUCCAGCCAUGCCGCGUGUGUGAAGAAGGUCUUCGGAUUGUAAAGCACUUUAAGUUGGGAGGAAGGGCAGUAAGUUAAUACCUUGCUGUUUUGACGUUACCAACAGAAUAAGCACCGGCUAACUUCGUGCCAGCAGCCGCGGUAAUACGAAGGGUGCAAGCGUUAAUCGGAAUUACUGGGCGUAAAGCGCGCGUAGGUGGUUCAGCAAGUUGGAUGUGAAAUCCCCGGGCUCAACCUGGGAACUGCAUCCAAAACUACUGAGCUAGAGUACGGUAGAGGGUGGGUGGAAUUUCCUUGUGUAGCGGUGAAAUGCGUAAUAUAGGAAGGAACACCAGUGGCGAAGGCGCCACCUGACUGAUACUGACACUGAGGUGCGAAGCGUGGGGGCAAAAC